rnacentral:rRNA from 1 species
UCAAACUCCUACGGGAGGCAGCAGUGAGGAAUAUUGGUCAAUGGACGAGAGUCUGAACCAGCCAAGUAGCGUGCAGGAUGACGGCCCUAUGGGUUGUAAACUGCUUUUAUAAGGGAAUAAAGUGAGUCUCGUGAGACUUUUUGCAUGUACCUUAUGAAUAAGAACCGGCUAAUUCCGUGC